rnacentral:rRNA from 1 species
UACGUAGGGGGCAAGCGUUGUCCGGAUUUAUUGGGCGUAAAGCGCGUGUAGGCGGCCAGGUAGGUCCGGUUGUGAAAACCCCGAGGCUCAACCUCGGGACGUCGACGGAAACCAUCUGGCUAGAGUCCGGAAGAGGAGAGCGGAAUUCCCCGGGUGUAGCGGUGAAAUGCGCAGAUAAUCGGGAGGAACACCAGAGGCGAAGGCGGC